GUCAGAUUGGCCGAGCGGUGUAAGGCGCCAGAUUUAACCUCUGGUUCCCGUAAGGGAGCGUGGGUUCGACCCCACAUCUGACA
rnacentral:tRNA from 1 species